GAAAGGCGGACUAAUACCCCAUGGUAUCCGGCUUGUCCGGGAUUAAAGAUUUAUCGCUCUGGGAGGGGCCUGCGUCUGAUUAGCUAGUUGGUGAGGUAAAAGCUCACCAAGGCGACGAUCAGUAGCUGGAUCGAGAGGUUGACCAGCCACACUGGGACUGAGAUACGGCCCAGACUCCUACGGGAGGCAGCAGUAAGGAAUAUUCCACAAUGGGGGAAACCCUGAUGGAGCAAUGCCGCGUGCAGGAUGAAGCGUUUCGGCGUGUAAACUGCUUUUAAACGGGAAGAUUAUGACGGUACCGUUAGAAUAAGGACCGGCUAAUUACGUG
rnacentral:rRNA from 1 species